GAAUUCGCGGUGCUUUUCUCCCCGGAUAAUACGCUGGAGAUGGAAUUGCGUCGGGAAAGAGAGAGUUUUGGUGAACCGCAAGUGACCGGCGCGUGAGCCUGUAUGGAUCCGGUUCUCAGAAGAAGAGAUUUCAUGAUUGAUGAGUUUGAGGUCCGUUGGAUUUAGUGACUACUGAGUUGACUUAAGGGUGAAGGAGAUGAGAACACGUGUAGAAGUGCACGUGAGGGUAGCUAAGCUAUGGGCAGGAGCGUGGGGGUCGGCGAUCGGGAACUUUCUCCUGCUUUUCUCUGAGGAGUGAAAUGCACGCGUCACAGGAAAGGCGUGAGUGGAUGCUGACAUGGAUAGGCCACGUCGAAAGUAAUACCAGGAUGGGCCCAUGGUAUGGUUAUGGUACGGGACUGCCAUACCUCUCUGUCCCUGUCCUCAUUAGAUAAUAUUGUUUUUUUGCUUUUUGUUCUCUUUAGCUAAUAAAGUUGUUUCUGGGGUUAAUAGA